GCUGGAUGUAAGGUUCCCUAGAAUUGCUUAAUGUUCUCAAUGAUAUUAGUGGAGAUAGUUUUCUGUGCCACCUACAGUCAACAGAGCACCACCAUGAUGGGGAGGACCUUGCUGGGGGUCUUGUGUCUCUCAGGCUGGAACAUCUCCUCAUGCCUUUCUCUUCAGUACCACUACGUAGCAGAUCCUAAGAACUGGACUGAAGCUCAGACCUACUGCAGAGAGAAGUACACAGACCUGGCCACUGUUGAAACCCCAGAAGAAAUGAAACAACUGAACAAGACUGUUUUAUCUUCUGGCAUUAACUUAGAGGUCUGGAUCGGUGUGUACAGAAAACUCUGGAAGUGGCCAGACAACUACACAAACAGUGGAGCUGAAUAUAGGAACUGGAGAAAUAAUAAUCGGAUUAUUAAUUACGAUUUUAAAUGCUACGUCCUUUUUCACAAUGGGGAAUGGUAUGGACAUGACUGCAUUAAUGCUGAAUCAUUCAUUUGCUACAGAGGAUCACAACAGAAUCCUGAAUUUGUUUAUGUCAGUGUUAAAAAGAAUUGGUCCAGUGCUCAGAGGUUCUGCAGGGAGAACUUCAUAGACCUGGCCACUGUGAAGAACCAUAGUGAGAACCAGAACAUCCAGAGCUUGGUUCCUGAAUACACUUAUUCAUGGAUUGGAUUGUACUGGGAUCCUGACACUUACUGGUCUGAUGGGAGUGGCUCAUCGUUCAGGUGGUUCAGUUAUGGAUAUGGAUACACAUUACACCCCAUGAGUGAAGUAUGUGGAGCAGCAGAUUUGGAGAAUUCAGGAAGAUGGUGGUUAUUAAACUGUGAAACUAAAUGUCCAUUUGUGUGCUACAGCGUCCGUUCAUCUGAUUCUGGUCCUGACUGCUCUGAAUUUGUAUGGACCAGAGAAGUAGGCAGUUUUCAGGCACCCCCACACGGCCGUUUUGCCACUCACCCCACAGUUAGCAGGCAAAGAGCAAACCAACAGGUUAGACAGCUCUCCCUGAAUGUAGUUAUGAAUUUGAACUGCAGUACCCAUUUUAAACACUAGGUGUCAGAGUUACACAUUGCUCGUUAGAUCCUACCGAUUGUCUUUAUAAUUACUGGUGUCAAACUGUAAAGAAAUGUAUUUAUUUCUCAGGGAUACAAGCAGAAAAAAAAUACAAACAUACAUAGAAAACAAGUUACAGAGGAGCUCCACACAUUUGCCCCCGUGACUUUAAAAGGUGUUUUCAAUUCAUGAGAUAAAACGAUACCGUUUCUUUUAUGCAGGCCCCUGUUUUAGCUAGUCAAGCUAAUAUAACACAUCAUGAGGGUGACGUUUUUCUUCUCUGUUCAUGUGCAGUAGUAAAGAGGCAGGUGAUAAAGCUGAGGAUGAAGCCAGAGAACUCCUCUAUGGAUCUAAAUGACCCUGCUGUCAAAGCAGACAUCCUGAACGAGCUCCAGGACCGGCUGAAGAAGAAUGGACUGAGUGGAGUCACCCUGAAGUGGAGAGAGCAGCCUGAUGGGAAAGUUUUCCACAAGGAGAGGAAAAUGUCUAAGAAGAAGAAAAAAAGAGAAAAGACUGAACUGUGAAAGUGAAAUAUAGCUGUAUAGUCUAUCUGUAAUUAGAGAUGGGACAGAUCUGAUCUAAUAUCCCUAACUAUAACUCAAGACCUACCUUUUUGGUCUGGCUUUUAACUGAAUCUCAUGUUAUCUCAUUUAGUUUUAUCUAUUAACAUAUUUUAUAUGAUAGUUUUUCAUUAUUUUAUUGUGUUGCUUUUGGCGUUUUAUUUUAUAACUUAUUACAUUUAUCUCUAGACUUGUGUGGCACAUUGCUGUGCUAUAAUUGUUUUUAGAUUUCUUCAUCCGUCUCUAUCACUUUUUCUAUAUUAUAGAGCUGCCUCUAUUAUAUCGUUCUCUCCUUGUUUUACAUGUCAUUAUGACGGUUUCUCCUGAUGUUUAGAGUCAUGUAAUUCAAGUUGUUAUGGUAAUCCUCCAGUCACUACAGGCUUUUUCCUGUUGGAGUUGUGUAUUCAUGUAUUUUUAUGUAUUUGGAUUAUCUAUCCAUAGGUAUGUGGACCUUCAAUAAGAAUGUCUUGCAUAGUUUAUAUUAUAUAUUUUUCCUGGUUUUGUACGACACGACCUGUCAGGUGACCUCAGGGGUUGUAUAUGUGGUGUGUCUAUUCACUUGUUCAUGUCUGAUGAAGGGCGAGGGCCGAAUCAUUACAUGAGGUGAUAUUUCCAUUAAAUUUCAUUUCAUUAGAGCA